GAGCGUGGGAGGGGUGCUGGGUGGGAGCUCAGCCUGGCCCCCUUGGGGCAGGACUGACUGCCAACUCGGCACCCACAGCAGGCGCCGGGUGCUCUGACUGUGCUGAGCAAGGGACAGCAAGCCGGGUCCGCCAAGAGGAGACUGCAUGUCAGAGGUCCCAGCAGGAGUUUCUCCAGCCCAGCCGUCCUGCUGGAGAAGCUCGUUCGCAGAUGUUGUUUCUAAGGACUGUGCCCUGUCCACGGCGCCUCCUGCAUGUCCUGCUGCUCUGAGCUGUCCCGAGCUAGGUGACAGCGUACCACGCUGCCACCAUGAACGAGGUGUCUGUCAUCAAAGAAGGCUGGCUCCACAAGCGUGGUGAAUACAUCAAGACCUGGAGGCCACGGUACUUCCUGCUGAAGAGCGACGGCUCCUUCAUUGGAUACAAGGAGAGGCCCGAGGCCCCUGAUCAGACCCUACCCCCCUUAAACAACUUCUCCGUAGCAGAAUGCCAGCUGAUGAAGACCGAGAGGCCGCGACCCAACACCUUUGUCAUACGCUGCCUGCAGUGGACCACAGUCAUCGAGAGGACCUUCCACGUGGAUUCUCCAGACGAGAGGGAGGAGUGGAUGCGGGCCAUCCAGAUGGUCGCCAAUAGCCUCAAGCAGCGGGCCCCAGGCGAGGACCCCAUGGACUACAAGUGUGGCUCCCCCAGUGACUCCUCCACGGCUGAGGAGAUGGAAGUGGCGGUCAGCAAGGCACGGGCUAAAGUGACCAUGAAUGACUUCGACUAUCUCAAACUCCUUGGCAAGGGAACCUUUGGCAAAGUCAUCCUGGUGCGGGAGAAGGCCACUGGCCGCUACUACGCCAUGAAGAUCCUGCGGAAGGAAGUCAUCAUUGCCAAGGAUGAAGUCGCUCACACAGUCACCGAGAGCCGGGUCCUCCAGAACACCAGGCACCCGUUCCUCACUGUGAGUUGCCCUCCCCUUCCCAGACAGUGUGAGGCCAGCCUUUGGACAGAGCUCAGAGAAAGAGCCCAAAUCUUCUGCUACAAAGCACAGCCUUGGGGUAGGCCAGGCGGGCAGGGCAAGGUGUUGCUGCGCCCUGCCAAGUCAUCCGAACCAAGACGUGGUGGGGGUGAGCAGGCUUGGGGAGUGGGAGGGUGACAGCUUCUUCAUAGAUGGUGGCUUCAUGCAAGCAUUUGAACCAACUGAAGAUAUCACGUUAUUUGAUGGCUGCUGUCUCUAUGAGUUAGGAGCACUUAGCCCAGCUGGUUGAAGUGGAAACAUUAUUUUUUUUGUUUUUGUUUUCAGAUAUGCUCAUAGAAGCAGAUGUGUUAGCAUUGUGUUGUCUGUCAGCCUGGACUGAGUAGAUGCCUGUUUGGGCUGCAGUCUCCAUCAAGGCCAGUGGCCACCAGUUAAAUG
rnacentral:sRNA from 1 species